rnacentral:rRNA from 1 species
UACGUAGGUGGCGAGCGUUGUCCGGAUUUAUUGGGCGUAAAGCGCGCGCAGGUGGUGCGGUAAGUCCUGUGUGAAAUCUCCCGGCUCAACUGGGAGGGUGCGGAGGAGACUGCCGGACUGGAGGCACUCAGAGGCCGGUGGAAUUCCCGGUGUAGUGGUGAAAUGCGUAGAGAUCGGGAGGAACACCAGUGGCGAAGGCGGCCGGCUGGGCCACGACCGACACUGAGGUGCGAAAGCGUGGGGAGCGAACCGG